AUUGAACGCUGGCGGCAGGCCUAACACAUGCAAGUCGAACGGUAGCACAGAGAGCUUGCUCUCGGGUGACGAGUGGCGGACGGGUGAGUAACGUCUGGGAAACUGCCCGAUGGAGGGGGAUAACUACUGGAAACGGUAGCUAAUACCGCAUAACGUCGCAAGACCAAAGUGGGGGACCUUCGGGCCUCACACCAUCGGAUGUGCCCAGAUGGGAUUAGCUAGUAGGUGGGGUAAUGGCUCACCUAGGCGACGAUCCCUAGCUGGUCUGAGAGGAUGACCAGCCACACUGGAACUGAGAGACGGUCCAGACUCCUACGGGAGGCAGCAGUGGGGAAUAUUGCACAAUGGGCGCAAGCCUGAUGCAGCCAUGCCGCGUGUAUGAAGAAGGCCUUCGGGUUGUAAAGUACUUUCAGCGGGGAGGAAGGCGGUGGAGUUAAUAACUUCACCGAUUGACGUUACCCGCAGAAGAAGCACCGGCUAACUCCGUGCCAGCCGCCGCAGUAA
rnacentral:rRNA from 1 species